GUUUAUUGACACUGAGACACUGAUUUGAGAAAAAUACCCUCCUUUUUUAUGUCAAGAGAGGGAGAGAAUCCUCAGAGACAGGGAUACGAGCUGCUGAAAUGGUGGGCACAGUAAUUUCUUCCUGAAGUGCAGCAGAUCGCUGGGUUUCGAGACCAUGAUGGGAUAGUGGUAUCUGUUGAGACAUUUCAACCCUCAAAAACAUCACAACUGAUCGAGUGAGUGCUGGAAUGAUUUCUUGUCCUUCAUAAAAUCACCCAUCCAAGAAGAUGACCCCAGGUAUAAGGUUCCCAAGUGUAGUUCAUAUAGAAAUGAAAUUAAUGUUGAUUGAGGCUAACAUUCUGCCUAACAUCUGCUUUAUGUUCCACGGAAGAAAGCUCUGAUGUAAUAGUGUUUUUCAGGUUUACCUGUUUAAAUCCACACAGAGAUGUGACCUACACAGUCCACAGAGACUCUCAGUACAGCUUGUGCAGCAGAGUGGUAUGUGCAGGAUAUGAGGGGUCACCACUCCUCUCAACAUGACAAAUCACAU